UACAGAGGGUGCGAGCGUUAAUCGGAAUUACUGGGCGUAAAGCGUGCGUAGACGGUUAUUUAAGUCGGAUGUGAAAGCCCCGGGCUCAACCUGGGAAUUGCAUUCGAGACUGAAUAGCUAGGGUACGGUAGAGGGAAGCGGAAUUUCCGGUGUAGCGGUGAAAUGCGUAGAUAUCGGAAGAAACAUCAGUGGCGAAAGCGGCUUCCUGGACCAGUACCGACGUUCAGGCACGAAAGCGUGGGGAGCAAACAGG
rnacentral:rRNA from 1 species